GGCGAACGCUGGCGGCAGGCUUAACACAUGCAAGUCGAGCGGGCACUUCGGUGUCAGCGGCAGACGGGUGAGUAACACGUGGGAACGUACCCUUCGGUUCGGAAUAACGCUGGGAAACUAGCGCUAAUACCGGAUACGCCCUUUUGGGGAAAGGUUUACUGCCGAAGGAUCGGCCCGCGUCUGAUUAGCUAGUUGGUGGGGUAAUGGCCUACCAAGGCGACGAUCAGUAGCUGGUCUGAGAGGAUGAUCAGCCACACUGGGACUGAGACACGGCCCAGACUCCUACGGGAGGCAGCAGUGGGGAAUAUUGGACAAUGGGCGCAAGCCUGAUCCAGCCAUGCCGCGUGAGUGAUGAAGGCCUUAGGUUGUAAAGCUCUUUUGUCCGGGACGAUAAUGACGGUACCGGAAGAAUAAGCCCCGGCUAACUUCGUGCCAGCCGCCGCCGU
rnacentral:rRNA from 1 species